rnacentral:rRNA from 1 species
GGGGAAUUUUGGACAAUGGGCGCAAGCCUGAUCCAGCCAUGCCGCGUGCGGGAAGAAGGCCUUCGGGUUGUAAACCGCUUUCAGCCGGAAAGAAAUCGCCAUUCCUAAUACGAGUGGUGGAUGACGGUACCGGAAGAAGAAGCACCGGCUAACUACGUGCCAGCAGCCGCGGUAAUACGUAGGGUGCGAGCGUUAAUCGGAAUUACUGGGCGUAAAGCGUGCGCAGGCGGUUUCUCAAGCCAGAUGUGAAAUCCCCGGGCUUAACCUGGGAACUGCAUUUGGAACUGGGAGACUAGAGUGUGUCAGAGGGGGGUGGAAUUCCACGUGUAGCAGUGAAAUGCGUAGAGAUGUGGAGGAACACCGAUGGCGAAGGCAGCCCCCUGGGAUAACACUGACGCUCAUGCACGAAAGCGUGGGGAGCAAAC